rnacentral:rRNA from 1 species
UACGUGGGGUGCGAGCGUUAAUCGGAAUUACUGGGCGUAAAGCGUGCGCAGGCGGUUUUGUAAGACAGAUGUGAAAUCCCCGGGCUUAACCUGGGAACUGCGUUUGUGACUGCAAGACUCGAGUACGGCAGAGGGGGGUGGAAGUUCCACGUGUAGCAGUGAAAUGCGUAGAGAUGUGGAGGAACACCGAUGGCGAAGGCAGCCCCCUGGGUCGAUACUGACGCUCAUGCACGAAAGCGUGGGGAGCAAACAGG